rnacentral:lncRNA from 1 species
CAAAAUAUAGAUACAGAUUACAAAUUUAAAAUCGCAUUUAAGACCAUUGUAACGACUCUCGUAGACUAUAGAAAUAAUUUUGAGAUUUUCUUAAAAUUUCGAGGGAGCGACAGCCCACUCAGCGCCCCCCCUCAUAAAUACGCCACUAUCUUAAAGUAAAACCCCGUCAACUCUGUACCCAUUCGUUUCCGUUCGUGAUAUCUACCUCGUUAUCAAUUUAGCGUUAUCAAUUUUCUUACUCUGUUAUCGUACCCAAAUUCUAUGGGACAAAAGUACAAAAUACAAAUAUAUCUAUGCUGUAGUAUUAAAUAUUUAUGUCUCUGUGGUCAUAGAUCGACGAGAUCUAUGAUGUCGGCACAUCUUCAGAAUACACGUCUACAUAUUUCAUAUUUAAGUAUUUUCCAUUUAUCUGAUUCCUACAGGUUACAGUAACCAUAUAGCGUUUUAUCGGUUAUCUACUAUCUUUUAACAGUUUCUUUUCCCCCGCACGAGCAAUUUUGUUUAUUUUUCCAAUGUAAAUUAACUCGUUUAGUUAAGUAGUACCUGGGUACAUAAUUUUAUUAUAAAAUGUAUUUUACCGAAAAACUCAUCACAGAGGUCCGAAAAUACCCGUGUAUUUGGGACCAGAACGCGGACGGGUACAAGGACAGUGACGUUAAAAAUGUAUGUUGGCUGAAAAUAGCCGAAGCAAUUUAUUCUGAUGACUGGGUUAAUCUCGAAUAUACUGAAAGAAAAGAAAAGGGUAUGCUCAUAAUAAAGUAAUAUUUAUAGUAGCUAUAUUAUGACAGAAGAAAAAUUAAUUUUUCAGAUAAAUAAAAAAAAAAAAACUUAUUUGAUUUAGGUACCUUUUAAUUUUUGUUUAGUGUUCUUCUUUGUUUACAUUUAUAUUUACUUUUAUCGGUAUUAUAAGUAGGUAUAUAAAUAACUCAUAAUAAUAAAAUUGCUAAAAUUUAUUUUUUAUUUAGUUAGCGAAUUAAAGAGUAAAAAGUGGAGACAUAUUCGUGAUGGAUAUUUAAAAUACAUUACCGAAAAAAACAAUGUACAUAAUGGAUCGAAAAUUACAAAUAAGAAACCUCGAAAGAAACCAUAUACUCAUGCUAAAUUGUUGUCAUUUUUAAAUGUCAUUUUAAAAAGAAAAAGGUAAGUAAAUAAAUGUGGUAAAUAAUUUUAAUGGAAAAACUUUAAAAUUUUCUUUUAAAUAUACAUUAUUUAUAAUACUAAUUUAUAAUUAAUAAAUAUACAUUAUUUAUAAUACUAAUUUAUAAUUAAUAAAAAAAAAAAAAAAAAAAAUCAUUUUUCUUUUAAGUAGGUAGGUAAUUAAUAUGAUGUGUAUUGUUCAGUUUAUUUUAACUAUUAAUAAAAUUAUUAUUUAAAAAAAAAAAUCUGUUCCAUAAUACACAUCUUAUUAUUAAUUAAAAAUGUAAUAUUUUUAAUUCGUAGAAGGACUAACUACGAAAAAGAAGAUAACAUUAAAGUUGUGGAUCAUUGUUCAAACAAUACAGACAAUGUUUGUGAGGCAGUACUAGAAGGUACUCAUCUUCCUACUUCUAAUCAAAGUACAAAUCAAAAUCCUUCUGAAGAUUCCAAUGAAAAAUUUCGAUUAAUACCAUUUCAAAAUAAUUUGAUUGAACAUUUCAAAAAAAAAGAAGAGUCAGAAACUUGGUCAGAAUUUAAUCCAGACCAAACUAUAGUGAUGUCCUUUCUUCCAUACUUAAAAAAACUUAAUGAUGAAGAAAAACUAGAUUUUCAAUUAAAUGGUCUCCAAUAUUUACAACAAAUUAUAAAAAGUCAAACACACAUCACACAACAACCAAGCCCUCAGAAUCAUUGAAUCAUUCAAAUGCUUGUUUUAGAUCAGACAGAUCAUUCUCCGUCUAACCAUUCUCACCGUUGUAUUCAUUGCCAUUGGUUUUUAAUAUAGAUAUAUAAAUAUAUUUAUUUGUCUAUGGUUUUUAAAAACAUGGUUUUUAAAGACUAGGUCUUAUCGUUCUAAUGAAAUUUCUCUACUAUGUGUCACAUUUGUCAGGUGUUGGUAUAAAGUAUAAAACAUUAGAAUUGAUUGACAUUCUUGCAAGAUGGUAUCGUUACUUUUCCUCAUUUUACAGCUCAUCCUCGUUAUUAUACUUUACAACUAGAUUUCCAUCGUUUUCAACCUUACUUUUUCAUACUUCUACUUCUUACUAUUCACGUUUCACGCACAUAAAACAAUUUAAUGGAGCUCUUCCUAGUUUUAAUGUUUAUGUUUUUAAGUAGAGUCGUCUUCUAAUACUACCAGUUUCUUUGAAUUCCUACUUGUUGCUUUUUAUGACUAGGAAAUUGUCUGUGGACUUAUUCUAACACGAGACUACACUGGUAACAUUUGUAUUAACAGUGUUAAAAUCUGAUGAGACUAUUAUUAUUAUUUUCAUCAUUUUUAAUUGCAUAAAUCAUUGUUAUAAUUUAUAAGUCAUGCAUAUCUAUCAUAUUUAAAUAUUUUUGUUAUAAUAAAAUAAAUGUAUUUAUUGUGUAUAUGUUAGUAAACAUGAAGAUAUUAAAUAUAGGUAAUAUUGUAUUCUGUAGAUAUUAUUUAUUUACAUUAAUGAUAGUUACUGUCCAAAUUCUAUGAUAAUAUCUUUUGACCUUUGUCAAAUAAUAUUCUUAUUAGUAUAUUUUUUGAUGAAAUAAUUUUACCAAGUCUUGAUAUUACUAUUUAUUUUAAUUUUAAUGUCCAAGCCUCUUCCAAGAUUUUUGGAAUUUCCUUUAUUAAUUUUGGUAUGAUUUUUAAUAUGUAAUAAUUUUUUAAAUAAUGAAAAAUAUUUGGUAGUAUUAUUAUCAAAAUAACUUUUCUGAAAUUUUUGAAAAAAUAUUAGAAUACUUUUUUUCAUUUUCUCAGCUAUUAUUUUUCACACAGCGAAAAAUAUUAUACAUAAAUUGAAAUUUUGGAAUAAUUUGUUUUUAUGUGAAAAAAAAAUUGAGUAGGUAUUAAUUGUUAUCUAGUUAGAUUGAAAUUCAAUAAUGCCUAAUUUAAAAUUGAACUCGCGAGCCUUUUAUUAAUCUCGGAUACCGAUGAAACCAUAGACAUAUUAACAAUAUUUAAUAAUAUGUUGAGAUCUACUGUAUCAUUUAUUCGUCGCAAUCAAAACUAGUUUUUUGUUCAUAGAUAAUUUAAGAAUGGUUAGGCCACUCUUGCAUUAAAAUAAUAUGGUCCCAUGUUUCAUAAUGUGGAUGGAAGACAAACUGCUAAAUUAGUGUUCUCACUCCAUUGAAUUCUUCACUAUAACUGGAAUGCUUACCCGCCAUAAGUAAGACCAAUGUAAACAACCAAGAUACAGUGUUUGAAAAAGAUAGCAGAUAAGAAUGAUGCUGCUAUCUUUUUUUAUAACACAAUACAUAUUACUUAUACAAAUUUUGUUUAUUUAACAUUGUUUUCUAAGUUUUUAAAGUUUUAAAAAAAUUAAAACAGUGAGCAGUUAAAAUGGUGAAAUUCUGUAGUGGUUUUAAUUGUACCAGCUCAAAUGACAUUUGGAAAGACUUGUCAUUUCACAAGUUAGUAUAAAGUAUUAUAUAGUGUUAUUAAUUUUACUCAUAAAAGUAUUUAUAUUUAAUUGUAUACUAAUUAUAUUUUUUAUUUUUUAUAAUACUAUGGCUUAAGAACUCCGGCUAUUAGAAAUUAUGCAUGUUAAAUACUUUUACAUUUAAUUUAGCUUGAUUUUUUUAUAAUUAAUAAUUAUUUUCAUUUCAAUACUAAGUACUGCUUAUUUAUGUUCUUAGAUUUUUUUAAAUUUAUAUAUCAUAAUAUAACAUUAUUAAUUUGUGAUGUAUGCUUUUAUUUUGAUGGGCGCUAAGAGGUUGUAUGAAUGCUUUUAAAUUUAAUAAAUCUACUAUCAUAUUUCCCAAAGAUUUGUAUGUAUAAUAUGGUUUAAUUUUUUGCUAGUUUAUUAUAAAUCAAUUAUUUUUAUUAAAAGAACGUUAUACCCACAUCUACUGUUUCAGUCCAACUACCGGGUAACAAACAAAACCAAUACUUACGCAGAAUAAGUAAAACUAGCUUGAUUUUGAUUUUAGGGUAAAAGUACCUAUUAUGAAAUUUAUAAAGGAACAAUAUUUUGGAAGGAAUAUCAUAAAUGGUUUUUGAAUUAUGAACUAUUAAAAAAGUUACAAUUAUUUAAAAAAAUAAAAUAAAAUAAAGGUUUUUGUAUCUUUUAUAUCAAGUUGUAUAUUUUGAAUAAUACAAAAACGUGUAUGACAUUCCCUUCAAAAUAUUGUUUUCUAUACAUUUUAUAAUAGAUAAUUUUACUCUAAAAUCAAAAUUAAACCCGGUUUACUUAUUUUUUGUAAGUAUUGGUUUUGCAUGUUACCCAGUAGUUUAACUGAGACAGUAGAUGCAGGUAUAGUGUCUUCUUAAUUUAUAGUUUUAUUGUCAUUACAGGAAAAACAUUAGCUGAAGUCAACUUAAGUUACUUAUUUAACUCGACAGAUCUUAUAGCUCCAAGGUUAUAACUAUAGUUGAAGUAUCUACAAUCUCAUAGUAUUUAUUUUAGGAAAUUUUUGCUGUGAAGCAUAACUAAAUUGUAUUGACGAUUUUGUUUACUGGACCAUUCUAAUAUUAAUCUUUCCUAGAUUAUAAAUUUACAACAUUAAGUUAAAUGAGAAAAGUAGUAAGUACACUACUUUCGAUUAUAAAUACCAUUGAUUAAAUAUAUUAAUAGGUUUUCAUAUUUGUCCAUGUCGUGGGCUAUUUAUGUAUAUUUAAUCAAAGUAAAUAUUAUGUUUUUAUUUUAAUAAUUAUUUUACUAAAAAUAAUGUUGUUGUUAUGUUAUAUGCUU